CAAGACCCUGGUUCAAAAAACUAGAAAACAUAUCCUUAAGUAACCAAGCCUCUAUGUCUUUUUAAAUAUAUCUAGUUAUGAUUAAUUGUUCCCAGAUUAGCUAAAAAGCAUAAAACAUAUUCUUUCUUGGAGUAUAUUUGAAUUCAAGUUGCUAAAAAACAACAACAAAACAUAUUCUCGACAUUAACCAGAGAGACAUUAACUAAUUUUUUAGUACUGAAAAUUUACCUAGUCUUGGAAGACAGUGAUAAAUUUAACAUAAAGGGUCUUAGUUAUCUUUCUGUUUAAAAAGUUAAAGUAUAAGGACUCAAUAUUAAAUCCUAAGAAAUUACAUCCAAUAUCAAAUUCCCUACUGGGAUGUCUCAUGGAAAAACAAAACAAAACAAACAAACAAAAAAUAUCAAAUUCCUUUUAGAACCUGCCACUUGGUUACCUGACAAAUCUGAAUCACUCGCUCACGUGUCCACUCUAACUCAAGCCAGUGGCUGGCUCUGACUAGAAACUCAGAUACCACAGCAGGUUGGCUCUCAUGACUUCCCUGUAUUAACGUGCUCUGGUCUUGCCUGCAGGUGUUAAAUGACUAAUCCAGAUCCCCAGCACCACAUCAAGGAGAAGCUUCCUAGGAGAGCUACUGGUGAUGGAACAACACUGGAAGGUGAAGUGUCACAACAAACUGGAAGGUUGUGUAGAAUUAUGCCAGGCCAAGGAAAGGCUUCCAAAGGGUACAGAAAUGAGUCCUAUCAGGAUGAUAUUUGCGAGGCACUGUCUAACCCAAGAGAGUCCUGAGGUGUCCUCCAACAGGAAGAUGCCCUGGACCCUGCGGAUGGAUGGUCAGGGGAUGUGAUGUGACUGCCAGGGUGGCCUGGUGACUCCCAACAGACCACAAAUGCUGACUUCAGAAUCUCUGGCACUUUCCAAAAUGUGGCUGAGCAGUAAUUUGGAAGCCUAAAUCCUGACUUCAGGAAUUCAUAAGAACAACCAAUGUUUUAUAAACUCAACAGAAAGUAAAAUAAACAAACCCAGGGUUUUACGCUC